rnacentral:rRNA from 1 species
GACGAACGCUGGCGGCGUGCUUAACACAUGCAAGUCGAACGGAAAGGCCCUGCUUUCGUGGGGUGCUCGAGUGGCGAACGGGUGAGUAACACGUGAGUAACCUGCCCUUGACUUUGGGAUAACUUCAGGAAACUGGGGCUAAUACCGGAUAGGAGCUCCUGCUGCAUGGUGGGGGUUGGAAAGUUUCGGCGGUUGGGGAUGGACUCGCGGCUUAUCAGCUUGUUGGUGGGGUAGUGGCUUACCAAGGCUUUGACGGGUAGCCGGCCUGAGAGGGUGACCGGCAACAUUGGGACUGAGAUACGGCCCAGACUCCUACGGGAGGCAGCAGUGGGGAAUAUUGCACAAUGGGCGGAAGCCUGAUGCAGCAACGCCGCGUGCGGGAUGACGGCCUUCGGGUUGUAAACCGCUUUCGCCUGUGACGAAGCGUGAGUGACGGUAAUGGGUAAAGAAGCACCGGCUAACUACGUG